rnacentral:rRNA from 1 species
AACGAACGCUGGCGGCAUGCCUAACACAUGCAAGUCGCACGAGAAAGGGCUUCGGCCCCGGUAAAGUGGCGCACGGGUGAGUAACACGUGGGCAACCUGCCCAACCCUGGGGGAUAACCUGCCGAAAGGCGGGCUAAUACCGCGUACGAGGGCUCGACUUCGGUCGGGUUCUGAAAGCAGGCCUCUGUACACAAGCUUGCGGGGUUGGAUGGGCCCGCGGUCCAUCAGCUAGUUGGUGAGGUAAUGGCUCACCAAGGCUACGACGGAUAGCUGGUCUGAGAGGAUGAUCAGCCACACUGGAACUGAGACACGGUCCAGACUCCUACGGGAGGCAGCAGUGGGGAAUCUUGCGCAAUGGACGAAAGUCUGACGCAGCGACGCCGCGUGGGUGACGAAGGCCUUCGGGUUGUAAAGCCCUGUGGGGCGAGACGAACAGCUUCUGGUCGAACAGGCCAGGGGUCUGACGGUAUCGCCUUAGCAAGCACCGGCUAACUCUGUGCCAGCCGCCGCGGUAAAAC